UACGUAGGGUGCAAGCGUUUGUCCGGAAUUAUUGGGCGUAAAGAGCUCGUAGGCGGUCUGUCGCGUCGGCUGUGAAAUCCCGGAGCUCAACUCCGGGUCUGCAGUCGAUACGGGCAAACUGGAGUACUGCAGGGGAGACUGGAAUUCCUGGUGUAGCGGUGAAAUGCGCAGAUAUCAGGAGGAACACCGGUGGCGAAGGCGGGUCUCUGGGCAGUAACUGACGCUGAGGAGCGAAAAGCGUGGGGGAGCGAACAGG
rnacentral:rRNA from 1 species